UACGUAGGGUGCGAGCGUUAAUCGGAAUUACUGGGCGUAAAGCGUGCGCAGGCGGCUUUGCAAGACAGAUGUGAAAUCCCCGGGCUCAACCUGGGAACUGCAUUUGGUGACUGCAAGGCUAGAGUACGGCAGAGGGGGAUGGAAUUCCGCGUGUAGCAGUGAAAUGCGUAGAUAUGCGGAGGAACACCAAUGGCGAAGGCAAUCCCCUGGGCCUGUACUGACGCUCAUGCACGAAAGCGUGGGGAGCAAACAGG
rnacentral:rRNA from 1 species